rnacentral:lncRNA from 1 species
GUUGACAGGCAGGAGGCCUGUCUUCCCUGGUCAUUAGUACCUCCUUUGAGGUCAGAAGCUUGCAGCCUCAGGCUGAGCGCGUCGGAGCAUCUCAGGGCACGAGUUUCCUGAAAAAGCUGCCUCUCUUUGCAGACAAUGCUGACAGCCAUCUCCAUGAGUGCCAUCGCUACCAACGGUGUGGUCCCAGCGGGAGGCUCAUACUACAUGAUCUCCCGUUCGCUGGGGCCUGAGUUUGGAGGGGCUGUUGGCCUCUGCUUCUACUUGGGCACAACGUUCGCAGGCGCCAUGUACAUCCUGGGAACCAUCGAGAUCUUCCUGACCUACAUCUCUCCAAGUGCAGCCAUCUUCCAGGCAGAGACAGCAGACGGCGAGGCGGCCGC